rnacentral:rRNA from 1 species
UACAGAGGGGGCAAGCGUUAUUCGGAUUUACUGGGCGUAAAGGGCGCGUAGGCGGCAAAUUAAGUCAUCUGUGAAAUCUCCGAGCUUAACUCGGAACGGUCAGGUGAUACUGAUCUGCUAGAGUGCGGAAGGGGCAAUCGGAAUUCUUGGUGUAGCGGUGAAAUGCGUAGAUAUCAAGAGGAACACCUGAGGUGAAGACGGGUUGCUGGGCCGACACUGACGCUGACAGCGCGAAAGCCAGGGGAGCAAACGGG